rnacentral:rRNA from 1 species
UAGGGAAUCUUCCACAAUGGACGCAAGUCUGAUGGAGCAACGCCGCGUGAGUGAAGAAGGUUUUCGGAUCGUAAAGCUCUGUUGUUGGUGAAGAAGGAUAGAGGCAGUAACUGGUCUUUAUUUGACGGUAAUCAACCAGAAAGUCACGGCUAACUACGUGCCAGCAGCCGCGGUAAUACGUAGGUGGCAAGCGUUGUCCGGAUUUAUUGGGCGUAAAGCGAGCGCAGGCGGAAUGAUAAGUCUGAUGUGAAAGCCCACGGCUCAACCGUGGAACUGCAUCGGAAACUGUCAUUCUUGAGUGCAGAAGAGGAGGGUGGAAUUCCAUGUGUAGCGGUGGGAUGCGUAGAUAUAUGGAAGAAAACCAGUGGCGAAGGCGGCUCUCUGGUCUGCAACUGACGCUGAGGCGCGAAAGCAUGGGUAGCGAACAGG